rnacentral:rRNA from 1 species
ACGGGAGGCAGCAGUGGGGAAUAUUGCACAAUGGGGGAAACCCUGAUGUAGCGACGCCGCGUGAGUGAAGAAGUAUUUCGGUAUGUAAAGCUCUAUCAGCAGGAAAGAAAAUGACGGUACCUGACUAAGAAGCCCCGGCUAACUACGUGCCAGCAGCCGCGGUAAUACGUAGGGGGCAAGCGUUAUCCGGAUUUACUGGGUGUAAAGGGAGCGUAGACGGCUUUGCAAGUCUGAAGUGAAAGCCCGGGGCUCAACCCCGGAACUGCUUUGGAAACUGUAGAGCUAGAGUGCAGGAGAGGUAAGUGGAAUUCCUAGUGUAGCGGUGAAAUGCGUAGAUAUUAGGAGGAACACCAGUGGCGAAGGCGGCUUGCUGGACUGUAACUGACGUUGAGGCUCGAAGGCGUGGGGAGCAAACAGGAUUAGAUACCCUGGUA